rnacentral:rRNA from 1 species
UGGGGAAUAUUGCGCAAUGGGGGAAACCCUGACGCAGCGACGCCGCGUGCGGGAAGGAGGCCUUCGGGUCGUAAACCGCUUUCAGCAGGGAAGAAGCCUGACGGUACCUGCAGAAGAAGCCCCGGCUAACUACGUGCCAGCAGCCGCGGUAAUACGUAGGGGGCGAGCGUUAUCCGGAUUCAUUGGGCGUAAAGCGCGCGCAGGCGGCCCGCCAAGCGGCCUCGUCGAAGCCGGGGGCUCAACCCCCGGAAGCGACCCGAACUGGCGGGCUCGAGUGGGGCAGGUGAGGAUGGAUUUCCCGGUGUGGCGGUGAACUGCGCAGAUAUCGGGAGGACCACCGACGGCGAAGGCAGCGCUCUGAGCCUUCACUGACGCUGAGGCGCGAAAGAUGGGGGAGCGAACAGG